GGGAUUUUCCAACAGUAAAGCACUGUUAUUCAAAAAUACAGUUGAAUACUGUGAAUGCAAACCGUUUUUGGAAAAAAAACUUUUAAUCGCAAACUGCUGUUUAAUUCAACGGUACAGAACAGUAUUUUUUAAGUCUAGUCACGUGUCCGAAGCUGUUUCGAAUGCUCACAACUCCUCAGAAGAGAAACCUGCAGGUCUAAUCUGAGCAAGAUCAUCAAAUCUAGCCUCAUCUUUUCACCUGGUGUACGUAAAUAUUGCAGAACGAAGGAUAAAGAGUUUUAGAACACAACAAUUUUGAGGUUUGUCCCGAGUCGACUGAACUGAACGGCUGAAGCUGAACUGGUCGAGAUAAACGGCAUUCCCGCACGGGGUUUUCCCUCCUUGCUUGAGCUCGAAGUGUGAGGAUAUCCGGGGUUUAAUCUUACACCUGAAAAACCACAUUACUGAAGAUUCCUUUCCUACAUGUCAAUCCAUAACGAGAUAAAGGCUAUCAUCCUCAGGGCUUUGCCCAGUCUGACUGAGGAGAUUCGAGAACAUGUCAUCACUUCACUUGAACGCUCAGGUGUGGAAUCUAUAGAAGACCUUGUAUAUGUACAACAGGAAGAUCUCAAAGAUGUCCUGACUAUUAUACAGCAAAGGAAACUUUUGGAGGCAUUCAAACUUGAAACUACAAAAGUCACACUUGAUCUCCAAAUAUUGCCAGAUGAGUCAACAGAUACAAGUAUUUCUUCACUCUCCAGUCCACAGCCUUGCACAUCUUUAAGCUCAAGCUCUUCACGAGCAUCAACACCUUGUACUAAAAGCAAGGCAAGCCAAUCACCCAACAUAUCCAGUAAGUGGUAUGAAAAUUUUGAGAUUCCUUGGGAUAAAAUG